AUUUUUUUGUGGAGAAAAAUCCCACUUUAGUCAACUUUCCUGUUAAGAACCUGGAGUUGAAGGACUACAUUCCCUUGCCAACGCCGAAAGAAAAUGAGAAAUUGCGAUCCAUAUAUGGUUAAUUGCCAAUGUCGUCCAUGAUGGCAAACCUGGUGAAGGUUUCUACAGGGUAUUUGUUCAACGCAAAUCAGAAGAACUAUGGUACGAGAUGCAGGAUUUGCACGUCUCAGAAACACUUCCUCAUUUGGUUGCACUUUAAGAAGCUUAUAUGCAGAUAUAUGAGCAGCAACAGCAAUAGCAAUAAAAUCGACUCGAGUCCUGUUUUGCAAGCACCAUAAUCUGAAACUUGAUUUUACCCGAAUAGAGAUGUAGAGGUGUACGUGCUGGGGUUGGGAUGAGUUGAAUCCGGCAUUAUUUUUUUACUGGGUCAUUUUGUAGAAAUCAAAUCAAAAUCACUGAAAAUAAUUGGAUAUAAGAGUUGACCUCAUAUUAGACAAUGCAUUAUGUAAGAAUUCGGAUAUUAUAUUACUUAUGUAGUAAUGAAAUUUUAAACAAAGAAA